GAGCGGGGAUGAAUGCACAUUUGCUUCUGACACCUCUUAUGUUAGCGGUCAUUUCCGGGCCGCAAUGAUUCCAAAAAUGUGAUCUGAGCUC
rnacentral:snoRNA from 1 species